AGAAGGUAUUAUAAUCAGGAGGUAACUGCACACAGGUGUGGCUGACUCUGGAACUCUUAAACAGUUUUUUGACCAUGCAGUAAUGACAACAAGGCGAGGUCACCUGCUGAAAGCGGAUGUCCAUGUCGAAGUUUUACUGGCAGCUCUCCAUCUCUUUGUCUCCUUCCUUCUCUGAGCUGCACAUGACAACCAGAAAGCAGUGGAUUGGAGGCUGACAUGCGUUGCCUGACCUUCGGCAUGCGAGCUGUUUGAUGGGGCUACCGUCUCUAUAGCUGUGACAUUGGCAGGGUUCCUGUCGAGCAGGAGCACUGAAGUGAAAUGUCACACAACCUCUCCAUUGUCUUUUCUAACUGGCCACGCAACAAGCAGCAGGGGUCUGACAGUCAAUAGAAAGAGCAUGGCUGCAUACCCCAAGGCAAUCCUGUAGGCUUCCAUAAAUGUAGGA